rnacentral:rRNA from 1 species
CUGGUUGAUCCUGCCAGUAGUCAUAUGCUUGUCUUAAAGAUUAAUCCAUGCAUGUGUAAGUAUAAGUAUUGUACAGCGAAACUGCGAAUGGCUCAUUACAUCAGUUAUAAUUUAUUUGAUAAUCGAAAGUUACAUGGAUAACCGUGACAAAUUACAGCUAAUACAUGCAGUCAGACCUGGUCCAAGGGUCGUAAUUAUUAGUAUUAAACCAUUUCCGCAAGGAGUGUGAUGAAUCAUAAUAAUCGAACGAAUCGCCUGGUGUGCGAUAAAUCAUUCAAGUUUCUGCCCUAUCAGCUUUGGAUGGUAGUGUAUUGGACUACCAUGGCAGUCACGGGUAACGGAGAAUUAGGGUUCGAUUCCGGAGAGGGAGCCUGAGAAACGGCUACCACAUCUACGGAAGGCAGCAGGAGCGAAAAUUGCCCAAUCCCGACACGGGGAGGCAGUGACGAGAAAUAACAACUCUUGGUUAUUCUAAGAAGUGUAAUGAGGAUAAUUUAAAACCCUUACCGAAAGCAAUUGGAGGGCAAGUCUGGU